UAUCCGGUUCAUAAUGUUCUAGUUGGUAUAGUCGUCUUAGUAACCCCCAAAUUUCUUCAAUUAUAUUUCUAUGUGUGGAGAGCAUGUGAUAGUAUAAAAUGAUUCAUGAAAUAUCUUGCUUCACUGAUGGAGUAACAAAUAAGAAGGAAUGUUAAUAUCUUUUGUGAUUUGUUUAUACAGAUCUUCAGACAAACUGAGGAGAGAAAGUAGCAGAUUGGAGAAGCUUUGGACCAUUGGUUACAGGUGUCGGAUUUUUUCUUCUCAAUCAUCUGCUGGAAUCAUUUUGGUUGUUUGUUCACAACAGAUACUCCAAUAACUACAAUAUUUUCUGAACUAUUUACACGCAAGGAACGGGGAACGAUUGUUGUGUUCUAUAAACGGUGACUGCUGGUUGAUGUCAAAUUAACUCUUGCAAUGGUCUAAUCUACUAGAUCCAUGACUUUUCGCGGUCUCUUGUCUGUUUAUUCUAUUUCUUGGGUGGCUCUGGAUAUUUUUCUCUCAAUGGGAUCAAUUUUCUAUGUUGAUCGUUGUGCCCAUCUGUCUGCCUCGCUGUGAAGCUGUCUACUUGCUCGCCUGGUCAUAGCCAUCAAGUUAGGUG